CCCUAGGGAGGCAGCAGUAGGGAAUCUUCCACAAUGGACGAAAGUCUGAUGGAGCAACGCCGCGUGAGUGAAGAAGGGUUUCGGCUCGUAAAGCUCUGUUGGUAGGGAAGAAAGAUAGAGGUAGUAACUGGCCUUUAUUUGACGGUAAUUACUUAGAAAGUCACGGCUAACUACUUGCCAGCAGCCGCGGUAAUACGUAGGUGGCAAGCGUUGUCCGGAUUUAUUGGGCGUAAAGCGAGUGCAGGCGGUUCAAUAAACCUGAUGUGAAAGCCUUCUGCUCAACCGGGGAAUUGC
rnacentral:rRNA from 1 species